GGGAACAUACCCUUUUCUACGGAAUAGCUCUGGGAAACUGGAAUUAAUACCGUAUACGCCCUACGGGGGAAAGAUUUAUCGGGGAAGGAUUGGCCCGCGUUGGAUUAGCUAGUUGGUGGGGUAAAGGCCUACCAAGGCGACGAUCCAUAGCUGGUCUGAGAGGAUGAUCAGCCACAUUGGGACUGAGACACGGCCCAAACUCCUACGGGAGGCAGCAGUGGGGAAUAUUGGACAAUGGGCGCAAGCCUGAUCCAGCCAUGCCGCGUGAGUGAUGAAGGCCUUAGGGUUGUAAAGCUCUUUCACCGAUGAAGAUAAUGACGGUAGUCGGAGAAGAAGCCCCGGCUAACUUCGUGCCAGCAGCCGCGGUAAUACGAAGGGGGCUAGCGAUGUUCGGAAUUACUGGGCGUAAAGCGCACGUAGGCGGAUAUUUAAGUCAGGGGUGAAAUCCCAGAGCUCAACUCUGGAACUGCCUUUGAUACUGGGUAUCUUGAGUAUGGAAGAGGUAAGUGGAAUUGCGAGU
rnacentral:rRNA from 1 species